rnacentral:rRNA from 1 species
AGUGGCAGACGGGUGAGUAACGCGUGGGAAUCUACCCAUCUCUGCGGAAUAGCUCUGGGAAACUGGAAUUAAUACCGCAUACGCCCUACGGGGGAAAGAUUUAUCGGGGAUGGAUGAGCCCGCGUUGGAUUAGCUAGUUGGUGGGGUAAAGGCCUACCAAGGCGACGAUCCAUAGCUGGUCUGAGAGGAUGAUCAGCCACAUUGGGACUGAGACACGGCCCAAACUCCUACGGGAGGCAGCAGUGGGGAAUAUUGGACAAUGGGCGCAAGCCUGAUCCAGCCAUGCCGCGUGAGUGAUGAAGGCCUUAGGGUUGUAAAGCUCUUUCACCGAUGAAGAUAAUGACGGUAGUCGGAGAAGAAGCCCCGGCUAACUUCGUGCCAGCAGCCGCGGUAAUACGAAGGGGGCUAGCGUUGUUCGGAAUUACUGGGCGUAAAGCGCACGUAGGCGGAUAUUUAAGUCAGGGGUGAAAUCCCGCAGCUCAACUGCGGAACUGCCUUUGAUACUGGGUAUCUUGAGUAUGGAAGAGGUAAGUGGAAUUCCGAGUGUAGAGGUGAAAUUCGUAGAUAUUCGGAGGAACACCAGUGGCGAAGG